GACGAACGCUGGCGGCGUGCUUAACACAUGCAAGUCGAACGGAAAGGCCCUGCUUUUGUGGGGUGCUCGAGUGGCGAACGGGUGAGUAACACGUGAGUAACCUGCCCUUGACUUUGGGAUAACUUCAGGAAACUGGGGCUAAUACCGGAUAGGAGCUCCUGCUGCAUGGUGGGGGUUGGAAAGUUUCGGCGGUUGGGGAUGGACUCGCGGCUUAUCAGCUUGUUGGUGGGGUAGUGGCUUACCAAGGCUUUGACGGGUAGCCGGUCUGAGAGGGUGACCGGCCACAUUGGAACUGAGAUACGGCCCAGACUCCUACGGGAGGCAGCAGUGGGGAAUAUUGCACAAUGGGCGGAAGCCUGAUGCAGCAACGCCGCGUGCGGGAUGACGGCCUUCGGGUUGUAAACCGCUUUCGCCUGUGACGAAGCGUGAGUGACGGUAAUGGGUAAAGAAGCACCGGCUAACUACGUG
rnacentral:rRNA from 1 species